CAGUGACACCUGUAGUAUAUAGUGGUAAUCCAGUAGAAUCAAAAAUGAACCUCAAGGUAUAGUUAAUGUGUGAUUCAAUCCCUCUAUUGUUAGUCCCAACUAGAUGGCAGAUCAUAGAUAAAUCAUCAAACCUCAACAUCAAUCAUAUGAUAGAUUCGAUCAGCUCAAGUCUAUUUGUGAUUCUUAUAAUUUUUUUUUUAACAAUCACACUACUGUGGCCA
rnacentral:lncRNA from 1 species